AUGGGAUGGAGCUGGAUCAUCCUCUUCCUCGUGACAGGAGUUACAGGUGCCCACUCCCAGGUCCAGCUGCCGCAGUCUGAGGCUGAGCUGGUGAAGCCUGGGUCCUCAGUGAAGUUGUCCUGCAAGACUUCUGGCUACACCUUCACUAGCUAUCUUAUGAGCUGGGUGAAACAGAAGCCUGGACAGAGUCUGGAGUGGAUUGGAUGGAUUUAUCCUGGAAAUGGUAAUACAAAGUAUAAUCAGAAGUUCCAGGGCAAGGCCACACUGACUGUAGACAAAUCCUCCAGCACAGCCUACAUGGAGCUCAGCAGCCUGACAUCUGAGGACUCUGCUGUCUAUUACUGUGUGAAAGACACAGUGUUGCAACCACAUCCUGAGUGUGUCAGAAACCCUGGAGGAGCAGGAAGCUGCCCUGGGACUGUGAUGAUAGAGAAGAUCAGCCUGGAGUCUUACUUAAAAAUAAACAUACUGAGUGUCCCUUUGGCUGUUAGUUCACACAGUCCUACUAAUAUCUCAAAAUCACAACUCUGCAUGAGGUGA